UAGGGAAUCUUCGGCAAUGGACGAAAGUCUGACCGAGCAACGCCGCGUGAGUGAAGAAGGUUUUCGGAUCGUAAAACUCUGUUGUUAGAGAAGAACAAGGACGUUAGUAACUGAACGUCCCCUGACGGUAUCUAACCAGAAAACCACGGCUAACUACGUGCCAGCAGCCGCGGUAAUACGUAGGUGGCAAGCGUUGUCCGGAUUUAUUGGGCGUAAAGCGAGCGCAGGCGGUUUCUUAAGUCUGAUGUGAAAGCCCCCGGCUCAACCGGGGAGGGUCAUUGGAAACUGGGAGACUUGAGUGCAGAAGAGGAGAGUGGAAUUCCAUGUGUAGCGGUGAAAUGCGUAGAUAUAUGGAGGAACACCAGUGGCGAAGGCGGCUCUCUGGUCUGUAACGGACGCUGAGGCUCGAAAGCGUGGGGAGCAAACAGG
rnacentral:rRNA from 1 species